UUAGGAUCAGUGAUUUUAUUGAGAAACUUCGAUAUAAAUCUGCAGCUUUUUACUAAGAUUGAAGUUAAUCUGAACUUACUGAGACCCCCU